rnacentral:rRNA from 1 species
AGCGGACGCUGGCGGCAGGCCUAACACAUGCAAGUCGAACGAAGUCUUCGGACUUAGUGGCGGACGGGUGAGUAACACGUGGGAACGUACCUUUUGGUUCGGAACAACUCAGGGAAACUUGAGCUAAUACCGGAUGAGCCCUUAGGGGGAAAGAUUUAUCGCCGAAAGAGCGGCCCGCGUUAGAUUAGCUAGUUGGUGAGGUAAAGGCUCACCAAGGCUACGAUCUAUAGCUGGUCUGAGAGGAUGAUCAGCCACACUGGGACUGAGACACGGCCCAGACUCCUACGGGAGGCAGCAGUGGGGAAUCUUGCGCAAUGGGCGAAAGCCUGACGCAGCCAUGCCGCGUGAAUGAUGAAGGUCUUAGGAUUGUAAAAUUCUUUUACCAGGGACGAUAAUGACGGUACCUGGAGAAAAAGCCCCGGCUAACUACGUGCCAGCCGCCGCCGUAAUAC